UGACCUCGGAUCAGGUAGGAAUACCCGCUGAACUUAAGCAUAUCAAUAAGCGGAGGAAAAGAAACCAACAGGGAUUGCCUUAGUAACGGCGAGUGAAGCGGCAACAGCUCAAAUUUGAAAUCUGGCCCCAGGCCCGAGUUGUAAUUUGCAGAGGAUGCUUUUGGCGCGGUGCCUUCCGAGUUCCCUGGAACGGGACGCCAUAGAGGGUGAGAGCCCCGUCUGGUUGGAUACCAAGCCUUUGUAAAGCUCCUUCGACGAGUCGAGUAGUUUGGGAAUGCUGCUCUAAAUGGGAGGUAUAUGUCUUCUAAAGCUAAAUACCGGCCAGAGACCGAUAGCGCACAAGUAGAGUGAUCGAAAGAUGAAAAGCACUUUGGAAAGAGAGUUAAACAGCACGUGAAAUUGUUAAAAGGGAAGCGUUUAUGACCAGACUUGGGCCGGUUAAUCAUCCAGCGUUCUCGCUGGUGCACUUUGCCGGUCCAGGCCAGCAUCAGUUCGCUGCGGGGGAUAAAGGCGUCGGGAAUGUGGCUCCUCCGGAGUGUUAUAGCCCUUCGCGCAAUACCCUGCGGUGGACUGAGGUUCGCGCAUCUGCAAGGAUGCUGGCGUAAUGGUCAUCAACGACCCGUCU
rnacentral:rRNA from 1 species